rnacentral:lncRNA from 1 species
CCUCAUGAUAAUUUGGCCUUCUUUGGUUUGUAUCUUACAGCCCAGAUUAUGAGAUUUAAUUUAAUUUAAUUUAAGUUGACAGAAGUGUCUGUCAGAGAAAGCAAGUAGAAAAUCAUUUUUUUGGUGGUGGUUCUAAAGCAGUUAUUCCUAACUUUUCAAGGGGUGUUGGGACUUCUUUGAAACCAAUAGAAUCAUUUUAAGAAAAUGCCCAUGUAUAAUUUCAAGUUCACAGAAUCUCUGAAACCAUACAUGAGUUUGGGUAUGCUUGUGUAUAUACCAGAUUCCUGCUCUAGAGUAUAUGACUUUUCUCUCAUCUUGGUAGAAUGAAGUGAGUAGAAUUUGCAAUGUAACUAUCGCUUUCUUCUGGGUCUUAUUUUCAUUCACAAGGGUUUUGCUAUUCUCCCAAUAUUCCCACACUUAUUUCUCUAGAUUAAGAAUAGAAUUUUCUUUAAAAGCUGCUCCUCUGUAUCUCUUAUGUUCAGUCUAUGACCAAAUGCUGAUGAGUAUUCCUUCAAAAUAUCCCUUCCCUCAUCCACCUAUAUUGCUGUU